CUCAAAAAACAAACAAACAAAAACAAACAAAAAAAGAACAAUCAGAGUUGGCAGCUCAGAAAGAGUUAAAGAGAUUCUUUAAUCUCCAGCUCAGCUUCAACAAUUCAACGCUGUUCUUUCUGAAAAAGUACACAUCGUGCCUUCUCUACUUCGCUCUUGGAACAUAAUUUCUCAUGGCAGUGUUUAAGACCACUCUGUGGAGGUUAAUUUCUGGGACCUUAGGGAUAAUAUGCCUUUCGUUGAUGUCUACGUUGGGAAUUUUGUUGAAAAAUUCUUUUACUAAACUGAGUAUUGAGCCAGCAUUUACUCCAGGACCCAACAUAGAACUCCAGAAAGACUCUGACUGCUGUUCUUGCCAAGAAAAAUGGGUUGGGUACCGGUGCAACUGUUACUUCAUUUCCAGUGAACAGAAAACUUGGAACGAAAGUCGGCAUCUCUGUGCUUCUCAGAAAUCCAGCCUGCUUCAGCUUCAAAACACAGAUGAACUGGAUUUUAUGAGCUCCAGUCAACAAUUUUACUGGAUUGGACUCUCUUACAGUGAGGAGCACACCGCCUGGUUGUGGGAGAAUGGCUCUGCACUCUCCCAGUAUCUAUUUCCAUCAUUUGAAACUUUUAAUACAAAGAACUGCAUAGCGUAUAAUCCAAAUGGAAAUGCUUUAGAUGAAUCCUGUGAAGAUAAAAAUCGUUAUAUCUGUAAGCAACAGCUCAUUUAAAUGUUUCUUGGGGCAGAGAAGGUGGAGAGUAAAGACCCAACAUUACUAACAAUGAUACAGUUGCAUGUUAUAUUAUUACUAAUUGUCUACUUCUGGAGUCUAUAAAAUGUUUUUAAACAGUGUCAUAUACAAUUGUCAUGUAUGUGAAACAAUGUGUUUUAAAAUUGAUGAAAUUCGUUCACCUACAUUUGAGAAUUAUAAAAUUAAC
rnacentral:lncRNA from 1 species